rnacentral:rRNA from 1 species
CAGUAGCCGCGGUAAUACGAAGGGGGCUAGCGUUGCUCGGAAUGACUGGGCGUAAAGGGCGCGUAGGCGGCGAUCAAAGUCAGGCGUGAAAUUCCUGGGCUCAACCUGGGGGCUGCGUUUGAUACUUGAUUGCUAGAGUGGGGAAGAGGGUCGUGGAAUUCCCAGUGUAGAGGUGAAAUUCGUAGAUAUUGGGAAGAACACCGGUGGCGAAGGCGGCGACCUGGUCCUUGACUGACGCUGAGGCGCGAAAGCGUGGGGAGCAAACAGGAUUAGAUACCCGCGUAGUCCAUGUCUCUUAUAC